rnacentral:lncRNA from 1 species
ACUUGCUGGCUGUGUCACUGCUGGGCACCUCUCCUCUCUCAGUGGCUCCCUGGGCUGUGCUGGUGCCACUCAGGUCUCCCUGUGCCCUUAAUAACCACUGAGCCACCCAGCCUAGGCUGCUAGGGCCAUGCUUUUAAAUGAGAUGCUGAGUCUAGAGAGGAAAAAGGACUCGCUGCAUUGCACAACUUGUUCCUGGCGUAACUGGAGCUAAAACCUGGCGUGACUCGUCUCCUCCAGCUCUUUCCUGGACUCUUAUGGACGUCUUGCGUCUGACGAUUGUUUUGUGGGGCCAUCCUGUGAUGGUGCGGGUGAUUGCUAUAGAUUACAAGCUGUUGAAUGUACUUUCUUUGAGAUCCCUCCAGAUAGGUUUAGACAGGCAUUUUCUUAAGUUUUGGAUUUUUAUCAACUUGGACUAUAUCUAUGGUUUGGUUUUGUUUUUCAUAAAAAUUCUUUUUGGCCUCUGGUAAAGAUAAAUUCCACCAGACCUCAAAAUGUGAAACAGACACAAGCAGACCUGAUCUGGUUGGAGCAGGAGCAAAAUCCCAAAGCUCCCUCUCCUACAGCCUCCCUCUGCUGCACAACCCCCAUGUCCUGGGACUCAUAGCUCUGAGCAAUCAUUUGCAAAACACUGGGCCGUCAGUAUCUGAUGGACUUGCUCGUAUCUGAGAAUCUGUGAUUCGUGAUUAUGUGACUGUAGAUAAUGAAGAAAACAUCCCCAGGUUCCUACCCUAUCCUCCACCUAACUUGGCAGCAUAGAGUAACAAAUAAGGAUGAGGAGAGAUCUGACAGGUGUGCUAAAUUUAAAUGCACCCAGGGGUCAUCAGUGAAAUGUACACGCCCAAGCCCA